GGUCUGAAAAGCAGAGAACAGCUAAGUUAAUCCUUUGCUGGUGCGCAUGGAGAGGAGCAAUUGGAGAGAGCCCCACACACGCAUUUUGGAAGGGAACCACGGCUCGGUGUUUGCUAACACACUUAAAAGCCUGCCUGCCUGCUUGCUUGCUUCCUAAAAAAAGGCUUGAACUCAUGACCUUGAGAUCAAGAGUCACAUGCUCUAUGACUGAGCCAGCCAGACACUCCUGUGCAGAAAGCCUUUUAAGAAAAAUGCAAACCACCUCAUUGGCAAAUGGAGGGGAGGGAAGACUAAAUAAAAAUCUAGACAUUGGAGUGAAUUCUCAGACUAAGAAGGUGCAGAGAAGCCUUGCCCUAAACACAGAACAGUGAUGUGAUCCCUAUAAACGUUAAAGAUGCAGCUGUCGUAGCAGUAACCAUCUAAAUAAGGACGCUCUGUAGUUCUAGGGAUAAAAACAGCACAGGGAAGAAUAGGAAAAUGAGCUUGGGUUUGUCUUCUGGCUACUUUUCUGCAAAUGAGGUGGCUGGUGACAUCUACGGACAUCAUCGCCUGGUACAUGACCCCUAGAUCCAUAGAAGGGAAUUUUAAUAUUUUCAAUCCAUUUCCCACAGGCAGAUUUUGUGGUACAUGUGUCUCGUGAACUGGUCGUAUAUUUCAUCAGGUUACCAUGUACAAUAAUUAGUCAAUAUCAUUUCCAAGGUGAAAGAAAGGAGCCACGACACAUUGAAAUCGUUCUUUAAAAGCCACUGGAGGGACUGACAGACUGGAAGCAGAGGCAAGGCAAAACCAGCUGUGAAUUCUGGACAGCGAGGCAGGUCGCAUGACGGAAAGAAGGAAAUGGCUGGAGAGCUUUGUCAAACUGCACAGGGGUCAUGACCCGUCAAUGAAACAGUGCGCCCAUAACUCCAGGACCACAGAGUGCAAGAGAUCAUUUUUCCCAUGCUGGAUAAGUUGCAAAUGCUGAAAAUAUUUGUGGAAAAUGUCCUGAAGUCUACCACCAAAUUCAGUCCUCCACAGAACACGUCAGACUCCAGAAGAAAGUGAGUCAAGGAGCCGAAGUUCAGUCACAGAAGAGCUAGAGAAGGAUGUUCUGGCUCAUCUGACCUAUCUGCCGUUGUGAAAACGUAUUUUUCCCCCCAAUCUACUGGAUACUGGAUGACAGGACUAUAAAUCUGACAACGCAAAAUGCCAGUUUUGUAACUAUUUUCCUGUCUUGCAGAAGAGGCCACAAUAGCAUCUUCUACGGGUACCAGCUCGUUCACCAACUGUGAACCUCCAGACUGCAACAGUCCCUUCCUUUAUUUUCUUGUGCGACCCUGUCCCCCUGCUAUGGUGACACGCCCCCAGCAGCCUGUGCUUGCUUCCUGUUCCUUCUCAGCCAGGGGGGGUGGAUUGUGCCGAUUCAUCCAGACACUCUUCUCAGGUUUCUGGGCGGUCAGCCUCCUCAGCUCAGUGCCCGGGCUACGGCCCAGUGGUCAAAAAAUAAAAAAUAAAAAGCUAACAGGAUGUCACAGGAAUCAAGUCUACAAAUUCAGGGCAUUCCAACUAACUGGGCUCAGCACUGUUCAUAUCCUGUUCAAAGGGAAGACAGAAGCCAUUGAAGGGAACAAGGUGUGGGACACAUCUAUGGCCUUCAUGCACCUGAGUACUGCGUGAGCAGAAUUCCUAUCAACAGCCAAGGCUCUUGGGGUUUCAAAAGUGGACAAGGGAAGACUAGGCUCUCACUUUGUGGCACUUCUGUUCACCCAGCAGUAACUUCUCAAGGGCAGAAUGGAGAGUCCCUGCACUCCUGUGGCACUGUGGUAUCUACAACUGGUUGUACUGUUGUCCCUAACCUAGAUGUAUUGUAAAUUACCCAGAUGUACUGUAAAUUAUUCUAUAAAUACAGACUUCCACAAGUAAUUAUAGAGGGUGAGUUUUGCGGCCCGUGAUAAAGUACAACUUAAUAACAGGUGUUUCUUUACAUCUCUAGGUUUUUUUUUUUCCCCUAAACGAACUUUGCAAAAUGUUCAUGUUGGCUUAAAACACAAAGGCCUUUCUAGAUACGGAAAUGUGACACUGCUAACCAACGGAAUGGAAAGGGAAAUCGUCCCCAAACACUCUACCCUCUUUCUUUUUGAAACUGACACCCUCAUUCCUAGAACGUGGAGAGUAAGAAUAUACUCCAACUGAUAACAUGUCUACCCCUGGUAAUAGGGGUACACAAAGCCAAACCUCAUCUUCAAAAAGGAGAAAGAAAUCAAUUUCAUCUGAUAUUUCAAAUUACCUAUUGAAAGUGAUACAAUCUUUUUUUUUUAAUUUUUUUAAAAAUGUUUAUUUAUUGUUGAGAGAGAGACAGAGAAUGAGCAAGUGAGGGACAGAAAGAGAGGGAGACCCAGAAUCCAUAGCAGGCUCCAGACUCUGAACUGUCAACACAGAGCCUGAUGUGGGGCUCGAACCCACAAGCUGUGAGAUCAUGACCUGAGCUGAAGUCGGAGGCUUAAAUGACUGAGCCACCCUGGUACCCUAUAAUCUGCUGUUUCUAAUGCUUAAACAUCCAGGUAUUUUAAAAAUCUUUCUAUUCAUUCUUCCAUGUCAUAUUUUUCAUGAUACAGAAUUAGUCCUAGGGGCGCCUGGGUGGCUCAGUCAGUUGAGCGUCUGACAUCGGCUCAGGUCAUGAUCUCACAACUUGUGAGUUCCAGCCCUGCUUCAGGCUCUGUGCUAACAGCUCAGAGCCUGGAGCCUGCUUCGUAUUCUGUGUCUCCCUCUCUUUCUGCCCUUCCCCUGCUCAUGCUCUGUCUCUCUCUCAACAAUAAACAUUAAAAAAAAAAAUUAGUCCUAGCCACCCCUCAACUAAACCAUUCACUAAGCUUUAAGUAUUUAAAAGAAGUAGAUAUUCAAUUCAGAAGGAAUUUUUUUCCAUCCGUGAUAAUGCUACCAACUUCAAAAAAUACAUAAACCUUAAGAUAGCUCCAAGACUUUUUUUUUCUUUUGCUACAGACUAUAACUAGGGAGGGAAACUGAAUAGUCACACAAAAGUGACUUCCAAUCUAAAACUACAGUUUGCAAAAAGUCUUUAGAGGACUUUUUAAAUAUGAAAAUGUAGUUACAUGUUUAAAAAAAAAAAACCCUAGGUAUUCAUUUCAAAUAUUUGGGGAAGUCUAC